CCUAGAUCUAAAAAAUAACCUACCAAAUCAUACCAAAUAACACACAAAAUUUAAAAUAACAUUACAGAUAAUAAAAGCAGAAAUGAUAUGAUAAAUACAUUAUUUCUACAUUAUAUAAACUGUAUGUACAUUGUAUUUUUACUUAAGACACUUUAUAUUUUCAGUUAAACUGAAACAUAAAUGUUGCCUUAUUAUAUGACAUAUACUGUAUUAGAUAUAGUAUAUGCCAUAUCACACUUGGCAUAUACUGUAUCUAAUGAUAAUGACUUUUAGAGAUCAUGACCUGGUCAACACCCAUGAUAAUGUCAAACAGAAGAUUGAAGGAAGGGUUCAAUAACCCAGAGCUGAACCCUUCAAAAAAACCGAUGAUGUGAAAUUGGAAAUGAAGUUGUAUACUUCAGAAUAGUAAAUUACAUUUCAACAAGGCAAUCUUGCUGAUUUCUUCUAAUUUCUUUCAGUUAGUGAAAAAAGAUCUGAUAUGAAUUUUUCAUAAAAGUGAAAUGAUGCUAAAUAAACGUAAAGCAGGAC
rnacentral:lncRNA from 1 species